rnacentral:lncRNA from 1 species
CUUUAAUAAGAAACAAUAUGUAUAAAUAUUUUAAAUAAAUAAUUAUCAUUUACCAUCAUUAGCCUGAAUCUUUUGUGGGUAUCCAGUAAAUAAGAUGUAUGAAUCUGUUUUGGCAGCUGGGAAGAAAAUGUAUUUGUUUAUGACCUGGUCAACAGCAGAGUGCCUGGAAUACCAACAGAUAUCUGGACUGGGCUUAACGAUCUGAGACAGGAAGGCAAUUUUGAAUGGACUGAUGGCUCCGUGUACGAUUAUAACUACUGGGAUGGCAAUCAGCCAGAUGAUGGGAUCCAUUCGAAACCAGAGGAAGAAGACUGUAUACAGAUCUGCUUUACGAUCUUGGAAUGACAAUAGCUGCAACAAAGAAUUCCCCUUUGUGUGCAAGAUUGCGUCCCUGGCUGCUGAUUAGCUCUCUCCACAAGCAGCAAAGGAGAAAACUUCUGCACC